rnacentral:tRNA from 1 species
GGGCGCGUAACUCAGUUGGUAGAGUGCCACCUUCACACGGUGGAAGUCACAGGUUCAAGUCCUGUCGCGCCCA